AGGAGUGUAGUUCAAUGGUAGAACAUCAGUCUCCAAAACUGAGAGUAUGGGUUCGACUCCUGUCACUCCUG
rnacentral:tRNA from 1 species